UGCAGUCGACGGUAACAUGAGAGCUUGCUCUUGAUGACGAGUGGCGCACGGGUGCGUAACGCGUAUGCAACCUACCCUUUACUGGGGGAUAGCCAGGAGAAAUUCUGAUUAAUACCCCAUAGUACUGUAAUGUAGCAUUACAUAGCAGUUAAAGAUUUAUUGGUAAAGGAUGGGCAUGCGUGACAUUAGUUAGUUGGUAAGGUAACGGCUUACCAAGACGAUGAUGUCUAGGGGUUCUGAGAGGAGGGUCCCCCACACUGGUACUGAGACACGGACCAGACUCCUACGGGAGGCAGCAGUAGGGAAUAUUGGUCAAUGGACGCAAGUCUGAACCAGCCAUGCCGCGUGCAGGAUGACAGCUUUCUGAGUUGUAAACUGCUUUUAUAUAGGAACAAAGAGGCCAUGCGUGGCAAGUUGCGUGUACUAUAUGAAUAAGCACCGGCUAACUCCGUGCCAGCAGCCGCGGUAAUACGGAGGAUGCAAGCGUUGUCCGGAUUUAUUGGGUUUAAGGGUGCGUAGGUGGUUUUUUAAGUCAGUGGUGAAAGCCUACAGCUUAACUGUAGAGGUGCCAUUGAUACUGGAGAACUUGAGUAUGGACGAGGUAGGCGGAAUUUGUGGUGUAGCGGUGAAAUGCAUAGAUACCACAAAGAACACCGAUAGCGAAGGCAGCUUACUGGGCCAUAACUGACACUGAGGCACGAAAGCGUGGGGAGCGAACAGGAUUAGAUACCCUGGUAGUCCACGCCGUAA
rnacentral:rRNA from 1 species